GCGGCUGGACCCUGCAGAGGGGGCCCGCAGCACACUCUCACUUCCCUUCCCAACAGCUCCCCUGUCUAACUCUCGCGGCCUGCAUGCUGAGCGGAGUGUUGCCAUGGAAACCCAUGGUUUGCUCUGUCGGUCGCAGAACGAGCGAGAUUUAGACAGGGGAGCUGCUGGGAAGAGAAGUGAGAGUGUGCUGUGGGCCCCCUCUGCAACAAACAGAUA